AGAACGAACGCUGGCGGCAGGCUUAACACAUGCAAGUCGAACGCUCGUAGCAAUACGGGAGUGGCAGACGGGUGAGUAACACGUGGGAACAUACCCCUCGGUUCGGAAUAACUCAGGGAAACUUGAGCUAAAUACCGGAUACGGCCGGGAGGCGAAAGAUUUAUCGCCGAGGGAUUGGCCCGCGUCCGAUUAGCUAGUUGGUGUGGUAACGGCGCACCAAGGCGACGAUCGGUAGCUGGUCUGAGAGGAUGAUCAGCCACAUUGGGACUGAGACACGGCCCAAACUCCUACGGGAGGCAGCAGUGGGGAAUAUUGGACAAUGGGCGCAAGCCUGAUCCAGCCAUGCCGCGUGAGUGAUGACGGCCUUAGGGUUGUAAAGCUCUUUCGCACGCGACGAUAAUGACGGUAGCGUGAGAAGAGCCCCGGCUAACUUCGUGCCAGUAGCCGC
rnacentral:rRNA from 1 species